rnacentral:rRNA from 1 species
UACGGAGGGUGCAAGCGUUAUCCGGAUUUAUUGGGUUUAAAGGGUGCGUAGGCGGGUUUGUAAGUCAGUGGUGAAAGCCUUCAGCUUAACUGGAGAAUUGCCAUUGAUACUGCAGACCUUGAAUUCGGUUGAAGUGGGCGGAAUGUGUGGUGUAGCGGUGAAAUGCAUAGAUAUCACACAGAACACCAAUUGCGAAGGCAGCUCACUAAGCCGAUAUUGACGCUGAGGCACGAAAGCGUGGGGAGCGAACAGG